ensembl:lncRNA
CUCACAGUGAGGCAUAUUUAGUCAAAGACAAAGUAGAAUGAUUCUGGAAGUCUUGUACUUGCUCUGAAUGAAAGGAAUCCCCUAUGUCCUGAAGUUACCUAGUUAGGGAAUUUGUGCUUCCACACCAAGUCUAGUGCAUUUCUAAUUGGUAGAGGGAGCUGGGCACCUGGUUUAGGGAAGAUAGAGGAAGGGCCUACUUGUUCACACAUUUACUGUAGGGGUGUUUACAGCUUACUGAAUGUCCUAUUUAGGGUUUUGAAACCACGUUAGGAAAGUCACGGGAAUAGCAACUUCUUAAAAUAGUGUAGAAAUAGGACUGAGCCAAACUUAGGCUAAAGAUGGGAAAAGUGAAUCUUAUUUUAACAUUUCGUGUGUGUACAUUGAACAAACACAUGCGUUUGUUUGCUGCUGUAGGCCUGAAGUGACUUUGGGUGUGAAGGAGAUUCCUGGAAAGAAGUCAGAACUUGAAGUUUCUGCAGGAGUGAUUAGCUGAUUAAAACUUCAGUGACUGGGGAGAAAUUAUAAUGUUGUGGACUGAUGAAUGAAUAAUCAUAUGCUGAAGGGAACAGGAAGUACUUGUGUUUAGAAAGAAAAAUAAUUGUAGCAAAUGCUAAAUAUUUCAAAGGAGUCUUAGUAUCUCUGAGAUAAUUGAGGCCUUUGAGAAAUACAAAAGAAGAGCUGAAGAGCAAAGAAACAAGCAGAAGAAAAGAGAACUCCCCAUUCCCCCAGUCAAAGAGUUACAACCCUGCAGGACCUUUUCACAGGAAAGCAGCAGCUCUCUCUCAAUUUGUCUUCAGAGGUAUGGGUGAUGUUUAUGUGCCGUGUCAUAGACUGUAGCUACUUCUUAUGUGUCUCCUGGUGACCAUGAUGUUUUCUCUCAUCUUCUUCAUCUCCACAAAAUCGAUCCUGCUAAUUCCGAUUUCCCUACAGUCAUCUGUACAAAUGGACUUUACCUUCUGGCCUUUUAUUCUUUCUCAGAACCAGACUUCCAAUAUCAAUAAGAGGUCUUACAAGAACAAAGUUACUCUACCCAGUUGAGUAAAGUUCCUCCUUUCUGAUUCUUUGUGAUCUUCAGCAGGCAUCUUGUUGUUAGUGUGCAAACCUCCACAGCGCAGCUGUAAGAGGAAGGUAACACUGCCAGCAUUCAAGUCUUUAUCUGGGUAAAUCCCUUGCUAACCUAUAAACGUUGGUAUGUAAUUAAACUGAUUUUGUAUCAAAUGUAUACACAAGUCAGAUUUGGUACAUAGGCUACAAAUAUUUUAACUUUUCUGGUUGAAGGUUACAAAUGGCUAUGUAAGUCCAGGAGAUGAAGAGAAAGAGAUAAGAUCUUUAAAUGUGGCUCCCUCUAAGAGACGGAAAGGGAAAAACUAUGUGAUUUAAUUGAUGUUCUUCCA